rnacentral:rRNA from 1 species
UACGUAGGGUGCGAGCGUUAAUCGGAAUUACUGGGCGUAAAGCGUGCGCAGGCGGUUUUGUAAGCCAGAUGUGAAAGCCCCGGGCUUAACCUGGGAAUGGCAUUUGGGACUGCAAGGCUUGAGUGCGGCAGAGGAAAGUGGAAUUCCCGGAGUAGUGGUGAUAUGCGUAGAUAUCGGGAGGAACACCUGUGGCGAAGGCGGCUUUCUGGGCCUUACCUGACGCUGAGACGCGAAAGCGUGGGGAGCGAACCGG